rnacentral:rRNA from 1 species
AUUGAACGCUGGCGGCAGGCCUAACACAUGCAAGUCGAGCGGAUGAAGGGAGCUUGCUCCUGGAUUCAGCGGCGGACGGGUGAGUAAUGCCUAGGAAUCUGCCUGGUAGUGGGGGAUAACGUCCGGAAACGGGCGCUAAUACCGCAUACGUCCUGAGGGAGAAAGUGGGGGAUCUUCGGACCUCACGCUAUCAGAUGAGCCUAGGUCGGAUUAGCUAGUUGGUGGGGUAAAGGCCUACCAAGGCGACGAUCCGUAACUGGUCUGAGAGGAUGAUCAGUCACACUGGAACUGAGACACGGUCCAGAUUCCUACGGGAGGCAGCAGUGGGGAAUAUUGGACAAUGGGCGAAAGCCUGAUCCAGCCAUGCCGCGUGUGUGAAGAAGGUCUUCGGAUUGUAAAGCACUUUAAGUUGGGAGGAAGGGCAGUAAGUUAAUACUUUGCUGUUUUGACGUUACCAACAGAAUAAGCACCGGCUAACUUCGUG